UAUUCACUUUCGAUCAUCUACUAGAAAAAUACUCUUUCAAUAAUAAUAUUUCAACUUUUGUUUUUAUUAAUUUAUUAUCAUAAUCCAAAUUGUCGAGUCAUUUCUAGAGCUUUUUCCUAUGAUUCAUCGCUGGGCAAGUGGAAUCCCCGGACAAGUCAAAUGAUACAACCUGAAAUGCGGAACUCAGGAUGCCCUAUGCAAAAUGCUGAUAGUCUUCAUGUUGCUCUCAGACCCGUUAUUUAUCUUGCACAAUGUUUCGCUCUCUUUCCUGUAAAUGGAAUCAAUUCAAAAGAUACUUCAGGUCUCAGAUUUACCUGGAGAAGCUUCAAAAUAUUAUAUGCAGCUGUAGUAUUGGGAAUGUCAAUUUUUUUAGCAAUUGCCAGUACCGUUCGUUUAUUUUCAUCAGAAUUUCAUACAACUAAAAUGACAACACUUGUAUUUUCUAUAACUACUUGCUUGACAAGUAUAAUCUUUCUAAGACUUGCUACAAAAUGGCCAGAAUUUGCAAGUUCUUGGGAAAAAGUUGAACGUGAAUUAGCAACUCGUCAUCGUCGUCCUCCUAAAUUUAACUUAACUACCAGAUUUAAAACUAUCACUGCUAUUAUCAUGAUUUUAGCUGUCGUUGAGCACACCUUUUCUCUUGCUUCGGGAUACAUAAGUGCAACAGAAUGUGCAAAUUAUCGAGGUGACAAAAAUAUCGCUGCAGUUUAUUACAAAACCCAAUAUCCUCAAGUGUUUAAUCGAACAUCUUACGCAUUAUGGAAAGGAAUUAUAGUUCAAUUUGGUCAUGUAUUUAGUACAUUCUCAUGGAACUUUAUGGAUCUAUUUAUAAUUCUUUUAAGUACAGCUUUGACUUAUCACUUUAGUCAACUCAAUGAUCGUUUAAAUUCUGUUAAGAAUAAGACAAUGCCUGAGUGGUGGUGGUCCCACGCAAGAAUCGAUUACAAUAAUCUUGCCAAUCUAACUCGACAAGUUGAUUCUUAUAUCUCCGUCAUUACCCUUUUAUCUUUUGGCACGGAUCUUUAUUUUAUCUGCCUCCAGCUGAUGUAUUCAUUUGACCGAAUAUCUACAAGUGUUAUGAGAACAAUCUAUUUAUGUUUUUCUUUUGGAUUUCUUCUUGCAAGAACUACUGCUGUUUGUUUAUCAGCAGCUGCUGUUCAUGAUGAAUCUGUGCUUCCUGCACCAGUUCUUUAUAGUGUUAAUGCCGCCAGUUAUUCCACUGAGGUUAUACGAUUUUUAACACAAGUAACAACUGACUUUAUUGGUUUAACUGGCAUGAAGUUUUUUUCAAUUACUAGAAGUUUUGUUCUUACAGUUGCAGGAACUAUCGUUACAUACGAAAUUGUUCUUGUACAAUUUAGUGCAGUUCAACAAGCAUCACAUAUAAAUAUCACCAACGCUUGUGAGGUGAAGUAGCUGUCAUCGAAGCGCAUCAUAUUUUUCAUCAGUUUUCAAAACUCGCCUUUUGUCAUUUUUCUUCUGUUAUCAUGAAGCAUUUUUGCUUCGUCACAAUUUCUACUUUUUUGCAAUUUUUCUUCGCUAUUUUUUCUAAUUAUGAAUCUGAUCUAGUCUUCUUCAUCAUAGUUCUGUGUCACUAUCCUAUACUUAAGACCAACUGUUGAAUUUUCUUCUUCUAUUUUUCUCUCUCUCUUCUUCUUCUUCCUCUUCUUCUGCAUCGACUGCCAAAUUGACUAUGUUUGUUAUCUAUUUUCUUCUAUCUCCAAUUCGAUUCUAUUCUUUUUAGUACGAGAUGGAAUUUGAAUUGCACAUCUAAGAAGGACAUUGUAUCAAUCACAACCAACCAUUGAUCAUAAGGAGUAUUGAAUCAGUCACAGCCAACCAUUCAUCAUAAGAAAUGAAUGUAACCUCACAUUUUUCAUCAAUUUUUAUGGUUAUUGAGGGUUUAACCUCUUUCGUAUCGGCAGGGUGGAGAAUAAAAUUGUUAUAUCUAUAAAAAACCGUAUGAAGAUGAGAAAUUUUAUGGAAAAAACAUCAGUUUUAUUUAUCAUAUCAUAUGUCUGUUACUCCAGAAUUUCAAGGUCGAAAAACGACGUAACAUAAAUUGAUGAAUAAAGCGCAGUAUUGUAUCCAGGGAGACGAGCGUGUGUAAAUUAAUGGGGACUGCAUAUAAAAAACAUAGUAAUCAUAAUCACUUGCUGCAUGAUAAAAAAUUUUAUUUUUUAUUAUGAUACAACAUAAACAAAUUAAAAGAUUAUCUCUGGCAU